rnacentral:rRNA from 1 species
GCAAGUCGAACGGCAGCAUAGAGAGCUUGCUCUGGCUGACGAGUGGCGGACGGGUGAGUAAUAUAUCGGAACGUGUCCAAUAAUGGGGGAUAACUAGCCGAAAGGUUGGCUAAUACCGCAUACGCCCUGAGGGGGAAAGCUGGGGAUCUUCGGACCUGGCGUUAAUGGAGCGGCCGAUACCUGAUUAGCUAGUAGGUGGGGUAAAAGCCUACCUAGGCAACGAUCAGUAGCUGGUCUGAGAGGACGACC